GCCUCGAUGGUGGAACGGUAUACACGACGGUCUUAGAAACCGUUGCCGAAAGGAUUGGGAGUUCGAAUCUCCCUCGGGGCA
rnacentral:tRNA from 1 species